AGAUCGAAGUGUCGACAACGUACCCGCAACUGCGAGUACAGUACAGUGCGGAUGACGGAUCCACGUGGCAAAAUAUCGUGCCGAACCGUGCCUCUUAUAUCACUUGGAAUGACGGGGACGUGUUGCUACGAGCAACAAAUGCUGCCGGGACUCGUUUCAGUCGGGCAGUAAAACUAUCAAGAGUACCUGAUGUUAUACCAUCGGUUUAGGACUUCAUGAAAUUAAACCGCAUAGGUUGACGUCAUCUGACGUCGAAUCGGGACUCGACACUUGGGGGAAAAAAUAUAAUAAAGCAUUUGUGACGUUGCCAAGAUAAUUCAAGAUAAGUAUUAUGCAAAGACAAAUAUAUUCGUAACAACGGAUAGUCUUUGUGACGUUAUAUGGAAGGUUUUCGGUGAUGUUUGAGGAAAAGCCAAUGUGGCGUUACAUGUGCCACGAAAUCCAUUGACUAGUCAAUGUGACAGUGUUUUGACGACGCUAAUUAAAUAUUUGUGGAUGACGUUACAUGUAAAAUUAUGUUAAAGUAACGGGAACAAUUUUGAUAACGUCACAUUGACAAUCUUGAAUUUAUCAAUUUGAUUGUCUUGGUGACGUCACACAUUUAAUAGCAUUAAUC